rnacentral:misc_RNA from 1 species
UCCGGUUUGUCACCGGCAGUCUCAUUAGAGUGCCCAACUGAAUGUAGCAACUAACUAUAAGGGUUGCGCUCGUUGAUGGACUUAACCAAACAUCUCACGACACGAGCUGACGACGGCCAUGCAUCACCUGUCACUUGGUUCCAAAGGCACUCUCUCCUUUCGGAGAAAUUCCAAGGAUGUCAAGCCUGGGUAAGGUUCUUCGCUUACCAUCGAAUUAAACAACACGCUCCACCGCUUGUGCGGGUCCCCGUCAAUUCCUUUAUGUUUUAGUCUUGCGACCGUACUCCACAGGCGGGAUGCUUAACGCGUUAGCUUCGCUACUAGAAGGGUCGAUACUUCUAACAGCUAGCAUCCAUAGUUUACGGCGUGGACUAC